rnacentral:misc_RNA from 1 species
AAUGCAUAUUGCGCUCUUUGAUACUCCGAGGAUCAUUCUUGUUUGAGUAUUAGUACACCUCUCAAAUCCACAAAGUUUUUUUUUUGGCAGGUCACUUGAAAUCCAGAUGCAGCUGAACAGUCUUCUGAGCUGAAAGCAUGUUUAUUUUAUCAAAGCAAGAUCAUUGCUUUGCAGCUUACAAAAAGGUUGACCGUUCAAAUGCUGACUGACCCAGGAAUUUAACAGUUUGGAAAUGCGCAAGCACAAGAAAAACUGUGAAUCUCGAUUUCGAAUCAAAUAAGAUUACCCGCUGAACUUAA